rnacentral:misc_RNA from 1 species
GUGCUCAUGAUUGACAAGUCAAGUGUUGGUGUUGAUAGUGAAGAUUUGGCUCGUUAGCAUGCGGAAAAAAUCCCUGUAGAUGAAAAGUUUUUUUUCAUGUUUCAGCUCAUGCUGGGAAGCGACAUCCACCAAUUGGNNNNNNNUGGCCUACCAAUUGGCAUUGGCUUCCAUCCUUUCAAUGAGUUUAAAAAAGUGAAUACGGCUAUAAGAGGAGAGCAAACCGGGGGGGGGGGGUUUGAUUGUAUUUUUUAUUUUUUUUAACCUUUUUUUUCUUUUUUUUUUUUUUUUUU